AAAAUACGAACAGCGUCAGACGACUCACGUGCUGAUAAGCUGUUCGUAUUUCCAACACAUUUUGAAAUUGAACAAUAGGGGCAGGGACAUCCACGAAACCCCAAAACAAUUUAUAAGAUGUUGGAAUAUGCCAUGAGAUGCGAUAAUUAAACUUUACAUAAUCGGAACACAUAAACAGUUAAUCAAAAGAUGAAAUCAAUCAUUUGGUCAGAACCUAGUUAAAGAUCCCUAG
rnacentral:lncRNA from 1 species